rnacentral:rRNA from 1 species
GACGAACGCUGGCGGCGUGCCUAAUACAUGCCAGUCGAGCGAACAGACCAGGAUCUUGCUCCUCUGUCGUUAGCGGCGGACGGGUGAGUCACACGUGGAUAACCUACCUAUCAUACUGAGAUAACUUCGGAAAACCGGCGCUAAUACCAGAUCAUAUCUUGAACCGCAUUGUUCAAUGGUGAAAUACGGUUUUGCUGUCACUAAUAGCUGGAUCCGCGCCGCAUUAUCUAGUUGGUAAGGUAACGGCUUAUCAAGGCGACGAUGCGUAGCCGACCUGAGAGGGUGAUCGGCCAUACGGGAAUGGAGAAAGGGUACAUACGCCUAAGGGAGGCAGCAGUAGGGAAUCUUUCGCAAAGGGCGAAAGUCUUGAGGAGCAAUGUCGCGUGAGGGAAGCAGGUCUUGGGAUCGUAAAAAUCUGUUAUGAGGGAAGAAAAAAUGUGUAAGUAACUAUGCACGCCUUGACGGUACCGAAGAAGAAAGCUACGGCUAACUACGUG